GGUGGUCACCCUCCCGAGUACUGACCGUCCCCGAUGCUGAUUAACUGCGGUAAUCAGAUGAGAACUGGUGCUUUCAGCAUGGUAUGGCCGU